AUGGAGAAUAUACAAGACGAAAAUCUAACAGACAUUAAUGAACAAAUAUUAAGUGAGCAAAAUAAGAUUCAGAGUACACCAAUACCACGACGUUCUGAAAGAGAAAAAAUGCCUACAGCAAAAAUGGCUGCUUAUCAAAGGGAAGAAAUUAGUAAAAAGGAAAAGAGACUCUUAACUCUGUAUGAACAGUGGAAAAUACAAGCACGUGAAACAAGAGAAAGUUUAAAACAGGACAUCUCAGAAAAGGAAAUGUCAGAUCUUGCAGAUAUAUUAGAGCAAAAGAGAGAUGAUCUGUUAACACAAUACACUGAAAUGAGAGGUCACAUAGCACCUUCAUCUGACAUAAGGAGAAAAACUGAUGCAUGUGAAGCAGUAACUCAUGACAUUGUGAAGAUCAUUCUGGAAAGAAUUAGUGGUAUUGAUGGAGAUUUUGAUGCAGAAUGUGAAGGCAAACGUUUACAUGGACUAUUAAAGCAUGAUUACGCCCGGUCCAUCUAUGGUUCCACCGCAGCAUCAAAUCACAGCCAAAGUUCUUCCACUUCAUGCCUCGCCGUGAAACGAGCAGAUGCUGCAGCAGAUCUUGCAGUAAAAGAAGCACAGUACAGAGCAGUACAAGAAGAACAAAGACAAAAGGAAAGGAUUAAAACUCUAGAAGAGGAGCACAUGAAACAAAUGGCCAUUCAAACAUCAGCGUUGGAACGCUUAAGAGCUGAAAAGGAAGUUGAAGCAGCUCGUGCCAGGUUGGAAGCCUACAGCAGAGAGUUAUCACAGCUCGAUGAUACAAAAUCAGUGAAAAGUGAACAGGUGAGCCCAGAGUACUCACCCAGAAAGGCUGCCCCACCUUUUACCUUACCUGCACCAACAGCUACCCCUAGUGUCAACCAGCUUGCACAGGCUGUGCAAGACAGCAUAAAAAUGAACAGACUUCCCACACCAGAGCCAACGAUGUUCAGUGGCGAGCCGAUAAAGUUCAUUGAAUGGAAAUCCUCUUUCACGUCUCUUAUUGAACAAAAUGGCAUCUCAGCAGCAGACAAACUGUACUACCUCAAAAGAUAUGUGACCGGCCCAGCUCGCAAAUGCCUUGAAGGGACUUUCUUUAGAAAUGAUGAAGAGGCUUAUAGGGAUGCCUGGGAAAAACUGAAUCAAAGGUACGGCCAGCCAUUUGUGAUUCAAAAAGCAUUUAGAGAGAAGUUAUCUAACUGGCCAAAAAUACAAUCUAAAGAUGCUGAUGGGCUAAGGGACUUUGCAGACUUUGUAAACGCUUGCAUGCUUGCUAUGCCUCAUGUAAAAGGAUUACAGAUACUCAACGACUGCGAAGAAAAUCAGAAACUGUUACGCAAACUACCAGACUGGAUAAAUGCGAGAUGGAACAGGCAUGUGACAAAGACACUUAUGGACGGGUGUGAGUUUCCCAGCUUCAGCGAUUUUGCCUCAUUCCUCUCCCUUGAAGCAGAAGUCGCAUGCAACCCAGUCACCUCCAUACAUGCACUUCACUCCACUGAAACAAAUGGUGAUAGAAGAAACACAAAGGAAAUCAAAAGGAAUAAGGCAAGUGCAUUUAACACAAACACAACUGAACAAGGUGACAAUAGAGUAAAGAAUAAAACGCACAGUGGCUCUUCAUGCAUGUUGUGUCAAGAGAUGCAUCCUCUUCACAAGUGUCCAAACAUUCUGAAAAUGUCUCUAGAAAACAGAAAGGAAUAUGUAAAGGACAAUAAGCUUUGUUAUGGAUGUUUGAAACCAGGGCACAGUGCUAAGGACUGCAGACGCCGCCUCAAUUGUGAAACUUGCCAUAAAAGACACCCAACCUGUCUUCAUGAUGAAAAUUACAGCAUCGGGCUGCAGAGAGAAACACAAGGUCAUGAGAGCAUGAACAUUGCAACACAAAGUAACUCACCUGAAACAGCCACAGCCAUGUCACUGAAUGUAGCCAGAGCAGAGCACACAGUCAGUACCUCAAUGAUAGUGCCAGUGUGGGUGUCAACUGCUACUAACCCACAAAAAGAAAAACUAGUCUAUGCGUUAUUAGACACACAGAGUGACACGGUCUUUAUCGAUCAGGAUGCAACAAGUGAACUGAAGGCAGAGGUGUGCCCAGUGAAACUGAAGCUAACUACAAUGAUGGGUAAAAACGCAGUUGUAAGCAGCGGAAAGGUGUGUGAUCUUCUUGUGAGAGGUUACAAUUCAGCAACUGUGAUAAGGCUUCCCAUUGCUUACACAAAGGACUACAUACCUGCAAACAGGGAACACAUACCGACAUGUGAAACAGCCAAAUUGUGGAACCAUUUGUUACCCAUUGUCGAUGAAGUUCCGCCGCUCCUCAGCUGUGAAGUAAGUCUUCUCAUUGGUUAUACCUGUCCGAGAGCUCUAGCGCCAAGACAAGUACUCCUAGGCAAAGACAAUGAGCCAUAUGCUAUUCAAACUGAUUUAGGAUGGAGCAUAGUUGGUAACUCAAUGCCUGGCAAUGACACAGACACAACAAGUAGUCUCUGUCACAGAGUAACCAUCAAAGAAAUACCUCCAUCCACCCCUGCAGAUGCAAUACGUGCUCUAGAAAAGGACUUCAGAGAAACUGAGAGAAAUGAAAAAACUGUGUCUCAAGAAGAUCUCAUGUUCCUUGAGAAACUUGAAGAAGGCAUAACACAGACUGAACAUGGACAUUACGAAAUGCCAUUGCCAUUCAAGGAAAGGCCACAAAUGCCCAAUAACAGACAACUUGCCGAAAGCAGACUCAAUCAGCUCAAACGAAAACUCAUUCGGGAUGAAAGAUACAAAAGAGACUAUGUCACGUACAUGAAUGACAUCAUCAAAAGAGGUGAUGCAGAAGAGACUGAUGAUAAUGGACCAGCAGGUGAAACGUGGUACAUACCGCACCACGGCAUCUAUCAUCCAAAGAAACCAGAGCGGCUGCGUGUGGUGUUUGACUGCUCAGCUAAACACAAAGGUACAUGUCUUAAUGAACAUUUACUGAACGGCCCCGACAUGAUUAACAAUCUAACUGGUGUACUUGUGCGCUUUCGACAACAUCAAAUAGGUUUAAUGUGUGACAUAGAAAAGAUGUUCCACCAGUUCAAAGUCAGUGCAAAUGAUCGCAACUACUUACGGUUCUUGUGGUGGAAAGAUGGUGACUUUAGUAAAUCGCCUCAAGCAUACAGGAUGACAGUACAUCUCUUUGGCGCCGUUUCGUCACCUGGCUGUGCGAACUAUGGACUCAAAUAUUUAGCCAAAGAAAACAGCCUUGAGUAUCCUGUAGGUGCACAGUUCAUUGCCAGAGACUUUUAUGUAGAUGACGGAGUCACAAGUGUUGAGACAGUCAAAGAUGCUGUAGAGCUAUCCAAAGAAGCACGCAAUCUAUGUGCAAAAGGUGGACUAAGGCUACACAAGUUCGUGUCCAACAACAACAGUGUUGUUCUAAACAGCAUCCCAGCUUCGGAACAUGCAACUGACACAAAAACAAAGGACUUAACAUUCAGUGAAAUACAAACAGAAAGAGCACUUGGCAUUCAUUGGAACAUAGAAAAGGAUUGUUUCACUUUCAACAUUGCAAUAAAGGACCAACCACCUACCAGGCGCGGCAUUUUGUCCACAGUCGCAGCAAUAUACGACCCCUUGGGAUUCAUUGCUCCAUAUGUACUCAAUGGCAAAAGAAUCCUCCAAGAAAUGUGUCGACAAGGAACAGACUGGGACAAUCCAUUACCUGAACAUCUCAAGCCACGGUGGGAGAGCUGGAAACAAGAUCUAAAUGAUCUGAAAAGGUUGCAAAUAAACAGAUGUUAUGUUCCUGUAACAUUUGGACAUGUCAAAAAAAGGGAACUGCAUCACUUUUCCGAUGCAAGCACAUCAGGAUAUGGACAAUGUUCUUACUUAAGACUGAUUAACAAAAACAAAGAUGUUCACUGCAGCUUUAUUAUGGGCAAAGCGCGUGUCUCUCCCACAAAGGUCACCACUAUUCCAAGGUUAGAACUGACCGCGGCUACAGUAUCUGUCACAGUAAGCAAUAUGCUAAAGGAAGAGCUACUCUAUGAAGAUGUGGAGGAGUUCUUUUGGACAGAUUCAAAGGUCACUUUGGGGUACAUAAGUAAUGAAGCAAGACGUUUUCACACAUUUGUCGCUAACAGAGUACAAAAGAUCCGCAACAAUACCACACCACAACAAUGGUUUUAUGUACCUACCUGUGAAAACCCCGCUGACGUCGCAUCGAGAGGCACAACAGUAAAUGAGCUGCUGUCAUCCAACUGGCUUACAGGCCCUCACUUCCUGUGGAAAAGGGAGAUAGAUCUUCCAACAAAGGAGACUAUCGAACUUCCAAUAGGAGACCCAGAGGUGAGAAAAGUGCAGACACUAAACACACAAACUUCAGAGCAUAAAAGUCUCAGCGACCGUCUCACCAAGUUCUCAUCCUGGUCCCGUGCAGUCAGCGCCAUAGCACGUCUGAAAAGAUAUCUGCUCAAGGACAGAUCAAGGUCACUUUCUACUGUCACUGAGAGGCAAAAUGCAGAAAUCAUAAUCAUUAAAGAUCUUCAGAGACAAGCAUACUCAAACGAAAUAGUGUCACUGAUCAAAGGAAAAGCAUUACCAAAGAACAAUAAAAUGCAUAACUUGGAUCUCUUCUUGGAUAAAGACAAAGUGCUCAAGGUGGGAGGAAGGCUACUUCACUCAUCGCUUCCAAACUCAUUCAAACAUCCGACUGUCAUUCCAAGAGGACACCAUAUCACAAAGCUGAUAAUUGCUCACUGUCACGAAAGAGUCAGUCAUCAAGGAAAAGGCUUCACAAUGAAUGAAAUAAGGUCCAGUGGCUAUUGGAUACCAAAACUAAGUCAAACAGUAUCAUCCUACAUUCGGCAGUGUGUGCAUUGUCGGAGACUACGCAGACCUGUGGAAGGACAAAAAAUGAGUGAUCUCCCCGUUGAAAGAGUUGAAUGUUCUCCACCUUUCACAUACUGUGGUAUGGACGUUUUCGGCCCAUUCAUGACCAAACAGGCAAGAAAAGAACAUAAAAGGUAUUGUCUCAUUUUCACAUGUUUCUAUUCGCGAGCUGUACAUGUAGAAAUGUUAGAAGACCUGUCUACAGAUACUUUUAUUAAUGGACUAAGGUGCUUUAUUGCUUUAAGAGGCUCUGUCAGACAAAUAAAAUGUGAUCAGGGUACUAAUUUUGUUGGUGCCAAGAAUGAACUAAAUGCAGCACAGGAUGAAAUAGACACUGACAAACUGACAUUCUUUCUUGCUGAAAAACAGUGUGAUUUUGUUCUUAACACACCUCAUGCUAGUCACGCAGGUGGAGUAUGGGAACGGCAAAUACGGACUCUGAGGAACGUUCUCAAUGCCACAUUAGCUCUCAUAAAAGGACGGCUCACCGACUCAUCCCUCAGAACCUUCUUAUAUGAAGCAGCCGCAAUAGUAAACAGCCGUCCACUGACAACAGACAAUCUCAAUGAUCCAAACAGUCUGGAACCACUAACCCCAAAUCACCUCGUCACUAUGAAAACCACAACAGCAUUGCCUCCUCCAGGACAUUUUGUUAAAGAAGACUUGUAUGCACAAAAACGCUGGCGCCAAGUACAGUACUUAGCAGAACAAUUUUGGAGCAGAUGGAAGAAAGAAUAUCUUUACAAUAUCAUGGUCCGGCAGCGAUGGCACAUGCCUAAAAGAAAUAUGCAGACAGGUGACGUAGUGAUGGACAAGGAUGAAACUCAACCGCGGGCCCAAUGGAGACUUGGUAGAGUCUUAGACACUGUAACAGAUUCAGAUGGACUUGUGAGAAAGGUUAAAAUUGCUUUUGCAGACAGAAAUCUCAGCAACAAGGGUGUACGUUUGCAUAAAAUGUCUAUAGUGGAACGCCCAGUUCAUAAGUUAGUUCUACUGCUAGAAGGUUAAGAAAAGUGAUGGUACACAAUCUAAAUGUGCUGAAAUGUUGAAGUUUUUACAUGUUGUUUACUAAGUUGUUAUUGUUGGUUGCAUUGAGAAAUUAUUUGUGUUUUAUUUUGUGUUUAUAAACAGCAAAUAAUUUGGUGGGAGUGUAAAGGUCAAGUUAGCUCUUAUAUACAUUAACACGCAGUUUAUGGCAUUUAAUUGUAAGGUUGCGCUUUUAUUUUGAUGACUUCCGGUGUGAACGGAAGUGAAGGAAAAAACGUUAGCUUGUUAUAAAGAAACGACGCACAGUAAAACACGGCAACGUUAAUAGUGAAAAUCAAAACAACGGAGAAAAGUUCUAUAAAACAAAGUAAAGAUAGCUACAGUCGACAGGGGAACAAGCUCUUACGUUGGUUCUAUGACACGGCAAGGAAAGAUUAAAAGUCAUUUAACCAUCAGUUCUGGCCUUCUCAGUUCGACUGGAUGCUACACAGUCCUUGUUCAGUCGAAUGAACGAAUGAUACACGGAUUUUUGUCCUUUAGAAAAUGCUGCAAAUUCUCCAUUCUCCACUCGUUCAGACUUUCCGAGCAGCCUACAUUCUCGUAAUAUUAUGACUUUAUUUUGACUACGACUUUAUUCUCAUAAAAUUACUACUUUAUUCUUGUAAGUUUACGACUUUAUUCUCGUAAAAUUACGACUUUUUCUGGCUUCGACUUUAUUCUCAUAAUAUUACGACUUUAAUGUCAAAAUGUUACGACUUUAUUCUCGUAGCGCCAGCAUGUUUUUUUUUUUUUGAUCCUUAUACUCCGUCGUACUCUCGCGAUAGACUUGACAAACAAAAGUAUCCUGUGCGCAAACGCGUUGCUUAGCGACCUGACGCGAAACUUUGAAGUCAGGCCACGAAUUUUGGAUUAUUUUGUGUCCAGAUUCUCGCGGUAUAUCGCACGCGUGUUGGAUUUGUACUUUUAAAAAAUUUAAAAAUUGA